AUGGCAACUGCCAGUUCCGUUCAUUAUCAGACCAGCUUUACCGCACUCCUGAUCACCACAAAUCCGUGAGGGAACAAGUUGUUGAUCAGCUUGCUUAUAAUCGAGAGAUAUACGAGGGUUAUGUUCCUAUGGCCUACAACGACUAUUUGAAGAAAAUGAGAAGGUUUCACACUCGGUUCCCACAUUCUUUUUCUAUAGAUUUCAUUGUAUUGUUU